rnacentral:tRNA from 3 species
GGUCCCUUCGUCUAGCGGUCUAGGACACCGGCCUUUCACGUCGGUAACACGGGUUCGAUUCCCGUAGGGAUCACCA